rnacentral:rRNA from 1 species
UGCCAGACUCCUACGGGAGGCAGCAGUGGGGAAUAUUGCACAAUGGGGGGAACCCUGAUGCAGCGACGCCGCGUGGGUGAAGGAGCGUUUCGGCGCGUAAAGCCCUAUCGGCAGGGAAGAAGGAGGACGGUACCUGACUAAGAAGCCCCGGCUAACUACGUGCCAGCAGCCGCGGGAAUACGUAGGGGGCAAGCGUUAUCCGGAUUUACUGGGUGUAAAGGGCGUGUAGGCGGGGACGCAAGUCAGAUGUGAAAACCACGGGCUCAACCUGCGGCCUGCAUUUGAAACUGUGUUUCUUGAGUACUGGAGAGGCAGACGGAAUUCCUAGUGUAGCGGUGAAAUGCGUAGAUAUUAGGAGGAACACCAGUGGCGAAGGCGACUUUCUGGACUGUACCUGACGCUGAGGCGCGAAAGCGUAGGUAGCGAACGGGAUUAGAUACCCGCGUAA